rnacentral:rRNA from 6 species
UAGUGGCGAACGGGUGAGUAACACGUGGGCAAUCUGCCCUUCACUCUGGGACAAGCCCUGGAAACGGGGUCUAAUACCGGAUACGACUGCGGAAGGCAUCUUCUGCGGUGGAAAGCUCCGGCGGUGAAGGAUGAGCCCGCGGCCUAUCAGCUUGUUGGUGGGGUAAUGGCCUACCAAGGCGACGACGGGUAGCCGGCCUGAGAGGGCGACCGGCCACACUGGGACUGAGACACGGCCCAGACUCCUACGGGAGGCAGCAGUGGGGAAUAUUGCACAAUGGGCGAAAGCCUGAUGCAGCGACGCCGCGUGAGGGAUGACGGCCUUCGGGUUGUAAACCUCUUUCAGCAGGGAAGAAGCGAAAGUGACGGUACCUGCAGAAGAAGCGCCGGCUAACUACGUGCCAGCAGCCGCGGUAAUACGUAGGGCGCAAGCGUUGUCCGGAAUUAUUGGGCGUAAAGAGCUCGUAGGCGGCUUGUCACGUCGGAUGUGAAAGCCCGAGGCUUAACCUCGGGUCUGCAUUCGAUACGGGCUAGCUAGAGUGUGGUAGGGGAGAUCGGAAUUCCU